GAGUUUGAUCAUGGCUCAGAACGAACGCUGGCGGCGUGCCUAACACAUGCAAGUCGAACGAAGCGCUUGAAUGGAAUUCUUCGGAAGGAAGCUCGAGUGACUGAGUGGCGGACGGGUGAGUAACGCGUGGGUAACCUGCCUUGUACAGGGGGAUAACAGUCAGAAAUGGCUGCUAAUACCGCAUAAGCGCACAGAGCUGCAUGGCUCAGUGUGAAAAACUCCGGUGGUAUAAGAUGGACCCGCGUUGGAUUAGCUGGUUGGUGGGGUAACGGCUCACCAAGGCGACGAUCCAUAGCCGGCCUGAGAGGGCGAACGGCCACAUUGGGACUGAGACACGGCCCAGACUCCUACGGGAGGCAGCAGUGGGGAAUAUUGCACAAUGGGGGAAACCCUGAUGCAGCGACGCCGCGUGAAGGAAGAAGUAUCU
rnacentral:rRNA from 1 species